rnacentral:lncRNA from 1 species
CUCUGUUCCUGGCUGAACCCUGCCUGUGGGUAGGCCCGUUCUUCAUCCUUCUAAUACUUUUGCCAUCAGCUGGCUUCAGUUAUGUCUCUGAGUCACCCAAGAGACACCAAAUGAUUAUUGAUACCAUAUGUAAAAGCACUUAGCAUGAUUCAUAGGAAUAUAGUCCUAAAUAAGUGGCAGUCGUUACCAUUAUUCCCAUUUUAGAGGUAAGAAAGUUGAGACAGAGUAAAUAAUUUGUCUUGUACAUUUGAUCUAGAAUCCAAUCUGAGCUUCCUGACACCUGGUCCUAAGUUCUUCUUCUUUUUCUUUUUUUUUUUUUUUCCUAAGUUCUUCUGUUUGAGACAGGGUUUCACUAUGUAGUUCAGGGUGGCCUUCAACUCACUAUGUAGCCCAGGCAGGGCUUGAACUUGUGGCAAUCUUCCUGCCUCAGCCUCCUGAGUGCUGGGAUUUCAGGCAUGUGCCACCAUGCCCUGCUGGACCCGAGUUUUGUUCUGUCUAUUCUUUGACUUGUGAAAUAAAACUUUCAAAGAGGGCAUAAGUAGGUAACUACUUAUACAUGGUUCCAAAUAAUUCAAAACACCUUGAUGUAUCCUAUAAACAGGACAAGAAUUAGAAAAGUGGUUACAACCUGGAAGACCUUCCAGUGCCCCUCCCUGACAUGGAUUUCCCUCUCCCCACCAGAGGCAGGUGGCAGAACCAUUGAGCUAAAUCCCUGGCCCUCAGAUGGAAUUUUUGUUUCCCAAGACCUGAACGAAGUUUAACAUAUAUACUGUGGAUCAAAACCCAGCAAUGCUUUACCACUGAACUACUUCCUCCAUUCUAAGGCUUCUCUAAAUCGACAAAUGACAAGACUGGCCUUGAACUCAUGGAUCCCCCUGCCUCAGCCUCCUGAAUUCUGGGAUUACAGGCACGCACCAUCACACUAG